rnacentral:rRNA from 1 species
AGAGUUUGAUCAUGGCUCAGAUUGAACGCUGGCGGCAGGCCUAACACAUGCAAGUCGAGCGGUAGCACAGAGAGCUUGCUCUCGGGUGACGAGCGGCGGACGGGUGAGUAAUGUCUGGGAAACUGCCUGAUGGAGGGGGAUAACUACUGGAAACGGUAGCUAAUACCGCAUAACGUCGCAAGACCAAAGUGGGGGACCUUCGGGCCUCAUGCCAUCAGAUGUGCCCAGAUGGGAUUAGCUAGUAGGUGGGGUAACGGCUCACCUAGGCGACGAUCCCUAGCUGGUCUGAGAGGAUGACCAGCCACACUGGAACUGAGACACGGUCCAGACUCCUACGGGAGGCAGCAGUGGGGAAUAUUGCACAAUGGGCGCAAGCCUGAUGCAGCCAUGCCGCGUGUGUGAAGAAGGCCUUCGGGUUGUAAAGCACUUUCAGCGGGGAGGAAGGCGGUAAGGUUAAUAACCUUGGCGAUUGACGUUACCCGCAGAAGAAGCACCGGCUAACUCCGUGCCAGCAGCCGCGGUAAUACGGAGGGUGCAAGCGUUAAUCGGAAUUACUGGGCGUAAAGCGCACGCAGGCGGUCUGUCAAGUCGGAUGUGAAAUCCCCGGGCUCAACCUGGGAACUGCAUUCGAAACUGGCAGGCUAGAGUCUUGUAGAGGGGGGUAGAAUUCCAGGUGUAGCGGUGAAAUGCGUAGAGAUCUGGAGGAAUACCGGUGGCGAAGGCGGCCCCCUGGACAAAGACUGACGCUCAGGUGCGAAAGCGUGGGGAGCAAACAGGAUUAGAUACCCUGGUAGUCCACGCCGUAAACGAUGUCGAUUUGGAGGUUGUGCCCUUGAGGCGUGGCUUCCGGAGCUAACGCGUUAAAUCGACCGCCUGGGGAGUACGGCCGCAAGGUUAAAACUCAAAUGAAUUGACGGGGGCCCGCACAAGCGAUGGAGCAUGUGGUUUAAUUCGAUGCAACGCGAAGAACCUUACCUGGUCUUGACAUCCACAGAACUUUCCAGAGAUGGAUUGGUGCCUUCGGGAACUGUGAGACAGGUGCUGCAUGGCUGUCGUCAGCUCGUGUUGUGAAAUGUUGGGUUAAGUCCCGCAACGAGCGCAACCCUUAUCCUUUGUUGCCAGCGGUUCGGCCGGGAACUCAAAGGAGACUGCCAGUGAUAAACUGGAGGAAGGUGGGGAUGACGUCAAGUCAUCAUGGCCCUUACGACCAGGGCUACACACGUGCUACAAUGGCAUAUACAAAGAGAAGCGACCUCGCGAGAGCAAGCGGACCUCAUAAAGUAUGUCGUAGUCCGGAUUGGAGUCUGCAACUCGACUCCAUGAAGUCGGAAUCGCUAGUAAUCGUAGAUCAGAAUGCUACGGUGAAUACGUUCCCGGGCCUUGUACACACCGCCCGUCACACCAUGGGAGUGGGUUGCAAAAGAAGUAGGUAGCUUAACCUUCGGGAGGGCGCUUACCACUUUGUGAUUCAUGACUGGGGUGAAGUCGUAACAAGGUAACCGUAGGGGAACCUGCGGUUG